GAUGAACGCUAGCUACAGGCUUAACACAUGCAAGUCGGGGGGAAACGGCAUUGAGUGCUUGCACUCUUUGGACGUCGACCGGCGCACGGGUGAGUAACGCGUAUCCAACCUUCCCAUUACUGUGGGAUAACCUGCCGAAAGGCAGACUAAUACCGCAUAGUCUUCGAUGACGGCAUCAGAUUUGAAGUAAAGAUUUAUCGGUAAUGGAUGGGGAUGCGUCUGAUUAGCUUGUUGGCGGGGUAACGGCCCACCAAGGCUACGAUCAGUAGGGGUUCUGAGAGGAGGGCCCCCCACAUUGGAACGGAAACACGGCCAAAACUCCUAGGGGAGGAAGCAGGGAGAAAUUUGGGUAAAGGGACGGAAGUCUGAACCGCCCAAUUGGGGGGAAGGAUGCCGGCUCUUGGGUUUGUAACCUGUUUUUGUAGGGGAAAAAGGUUAGGGCCUUGUCCCUUUUGGAGGGACCCAAACAAAAAAGGCCCGCCUAUUCCCGGC
rnacentral:rRNA from 1 species